rnacentral:rRNA from 1 species
UACGUAGGGUGCAAGCGUUAAUCGGAAUUACUGGGCGUAAAGAGCGCGUAGGCGGCACGGUACGACCGGUGUGAAAGCCCCGGGCUCAACCCGGGAGGGUCGUGGCAAACCGGCGGGCUUGAGGCCGGUAGAGGUGGGUGGAACUCCUGGUGGAGUGGUGAAAUGCGUAGAGAUCAGGAAGAACACCCGUGGCGAAGGCGGCCCACUGGGCCGGUACUGACGCUGAGGCGCGAAGGCGUGGGGAGCGAACGGG